ensembl:lncRNA
AUGUUUUUAUUCUCCACAAGAUGUUGCUUUACAAAAGUUGAUUGGAACUGUCACAGAACUUCAAAGCAACCUUUGCUUCCAUUGCCUGUCUCAGUCCAUCUGCACAAUACUGAAGAGCUUGAGACUGCAGAGAAGAUUUUACAAUCCAGUGAAGCAAGGCAAAUGAUGGUGAGACACUUUAGCAUAAUUGGAGGAACCUCACUGGAAAUGAGGGUCCGUCGCAUGCUUUCCUGUGCACUGACCAAUGAACUGGCAUCAUCAAUAAAUUGGGCUGGGAAGAUGGUUAAAGAGCAGUCAAGGCAAAAGAGGGCAUUCAAGGAUACUUUCUUGAAUAUGUGUAUAUUUGAUGCUUUGACUUUGCAGAUGGGUGUGGGAAAAGUUUCCCAAUAUGAAUAUAUUCAGGCAGUCCAGAAAUGGUGCCGAUAUGCACCAUACCGUGUGGGCAGAACUGCACAUCAAACAACUACAACUGUUCCUUUGGUGCCUCCAGAAACAAAUUAAUUUUGUCAUUUUAAUUUAUUUUUUUCAUGACAUAGUAUGAAGUGCUUUCAGUUGACUGAAUUAAAAGACAGCAAAAAAUAAAUAAAUGUGAUUGAACCAGUGGAAAAGUGUUUAUUUUUUUAUUUUUUAUUAUAGUAGCUUGACCAUUGAUUCAAUGGUAUGUGUGUGAUUUAUUUUGCAUUCAGUUUUCAGUUAAAUAUAUUUCACAAUAUCAAAUUUGAUAUUUUAUGAGGAUUUAUUUUUGGUGUUUUUGUUUAUAUAGGACAGUAUAGAAAGCGCACAAGUGGGAGAGAGUGGAGGGGACGGUGUCAGAAAGGACCUAGAGCUGGGACACUUUCGAGGAUCAUCCGAAGCACACCGCACUAUAUGCAUGAGGCUGUUGGUUGUAACAUUUUAGAGUCCCCUUCGGUAGAAAUCACAUUCUGCGUUCCCCACGGUAAAAAAAGACACAGUCCAGGGGGGUCCCCCUUAGAAAUCACAUACCCACCCCCUUGGGGUGUCCCCCCAAAGCUGGGCCCUUGGAAUUGUCCUAACCUUUCCUCCCUUUACAGCGUCCCUGGUUGCAGGUUCGAACUUUUCAACACAUUUUCACUGCACAAAUGUACAUAUCUCUUGUAAUGAGACACAUUACUAAAACAUGUUUUUUACAGAAACUAGUUUUCCACCAAAAUAAAAGAUCAGCUGGUUUCAGUCAUAAAGGUACAAGGGUUUCUCUUGCAAGUGGCGCACAAAAUAUGCAUUUAAAUGCAAAAAUAUGCCAAAUUAUUUUACAAAAACCUUUAAAUAUUAUUGUAUGUGGAUUGUUCUUCUACAUGUUUUUAACAAUACAUCCAUACAUACUCUGCAAAGUAAAGUUUGGAUUAUUUUCAUCUGUUUUAUACAGUAUGUUUCCAAAAUAAAACUGUUGUUUUACAAUUAUGAGCAUGUGGUAGUUUAUUGAAGUUGAUUGUAAAGCCAUUGCUGCCAGUCAUUUGAUUUUUAGCCUUUAUAAUGUACAGUGUUGAUCUAAAUGCAAACUCGGCUGUAAUUGAACAUGCAGUUGUGUAUUUAUACAUGGUGCAAGGUACGACGGUGAAACAGCGUCGUGUUAUCAACGUUGAUUCACUUUGCAAAAUCAACACCUAAUUCAACGUUAAUCCAAAGUCUACAGAACGACCAUAAUUCACCCAUAAUGAAGGUAAGACGGUGAAUCAACAUCACAAUAUCAACGUUGAUCCAAUUUGCAAAAUCGAAAGGUUAUUCAACGUUGAUUCAACCAUGGUACCUGACGUUGUUUCAACAUUGAAUCAACGUUGAAAUGCCUGCUGGGAAAAGCUCAUGAUCAACAGCUCUAACGUCUCUCGAGAAAAUGCAGUUUGCAUCUAGAUACUGAUUCUAGAAGAAACCACUGGAUGAUGGAUUUGAGCUUAGAUUGUGGAAAUGCAAGAAUAUUUGAAUGCAUGAAAACAUCGCCUUAUACACAUUCUUUCUACAAACUAUAAGUUUAGACAUGCAUAAAUACCUUGCUGUGGAGUAACUGCAGGUCUGUGAGCAGCUGUAGUUAUCUCAGAGUUUGAGGUAAUGAUCUCUUUAUCUGUAGAAGUUGGAGAAUUUUAGGUCAGAUGCAGAUUGAGGAAAACAUAAAAUAAACAUUCAUCUUAACCGCAGUCAACAGUCUGGUUGGCAAAAAGAGCGCUGUAUCCCCUCAGAUGCUACAGACAGCAGACUAUACCAUGAUGCAUUUCUAUCAGAGCCCUGCACUGAAGUGAGAGACUGCUGGUGUGUGAGAGUGAUCAUGAACCUUUUGUAGGAGCUGCUGCUGUAGUUCGGCUUGAUGUCGUCUCAGAGUUUGAGCUGCUGACUGGAAUCAGUGUUGAACCUGGAGCUGCAGAAGAUGAACGUUCAGAUGCAUCUUAAGACUGCAAAAUCACAUUUUCAUACUUGGUCAUUAUAUGACAUGCAAUAUUAGAGAUUUUUCAAAGUACACUUUAAAUAUCCACUCUUGUAUUUAAGUUUUGAAUUGCAGAAUUCACAGCAUACACUUCAAAUGUAUUUUGGUGACAUUACAAUUACAAUUUAGUUACAAUGUAAGAUAGUUGAACAUACAUUAAUAUUAUACUAACAAACUGAUGUCAAGCUAUCCUUUACUUUUAGUGACUUGAAAACACAUUGCAAUAUCAUUCCAAGUGAACUUGAAGUGUGCUUUUGGCAUCAUUAUGCCAUUAUAACUGAGCACCACACAGACAUGCACCGUUCAAAUCUGGUCUUAUUUUGUUUUCUUUAUAUACUGUAACAAGUACUGCUAUAAGCAAACAGUUUUUUUCUAUCAGAGACAGCACAAAUUAUAUAGAUUUAAAGAUUGCUAAGAAAAGUCUUAAUAUAGGCGCAGUAAACAGUGCUUGAAAAUAAACGUGAAGCAGCGUUAAAUAUGAAAUAUGACUACAUUUGAAAUAUGAAAUAACUACAUUUACAUUGUAUUUUCAGUUAGUACAUAGACAUGUUAGUCUAUUUUUAUUAAAUAUAUUUUAAAUACAAUUUAGUAUAUUUAUUUUUUCAAUAGGUUGCAAGUAAAGCUCAGGCAGAGGGUCCUUAUGGCACCAUUAAACAGUUAUAGGGUCCUUUUGUGGCCGAGACAGAAGGGAGAAUGAUACUGAAACCCAUAAACCUAUAGUUUGUCCUGAAUGGAUGACAUUAUGAUUCCUCAUGCCAUGUUUCUGUAUCAGAGAGUCUUUUGAAAUUGAGUUAGGAAGGUUUCUCACCUGAACUCUUGAUAGUGUAUGUGACUGAGGCCUUGACUUGAUCUCUCUGAGUAACUUCACAUCUCCACUCUCUGUUGUGAUCUUCAUUCAGGAGUAUUAUAGUCAGAGUGCAGAUACAGUGUCCUGAUGAAGAUAAUGCCUUACAUUUGGAUUCUAAUAUUGUCAAUUUAACACCAGCCUGAUUCACCCAGAACAGCUGUAUUCUCUCAGAACUGACCGAAUCAUCACAAGAGACUCCAGCAUAUGAAUACAGCUGACAGGAGAGAGUCACAGAGAGACCUGCACUGAUCUCAGUCUGUGAGACUGAAACACACAAUAACACACACAUCACACACUCUUCAAUCAUCACGAGAGUUUAAAUGAAGAAUUUGUCAUUUUUAAAUGUGACCACAUAAUUGUAAAAUUACCAUGAAGAACAUGCAGAUAAACACGAGCGUCAGGUUCUUGGUGUUUGUCUCUAUUCACACCAGUCCAUUGUCUGCAGGUGUAAAAUCCAUAAUCUUCUGUUGAGAUGUUGUUGAUGUUCAGAGAGCAGUCAGACCCCAGAUUCAGUCUCUCAUGUCUCUCUGUGUCUUUCUUCUUUUUCCCUCCAUCGAUCAGUUCAACAGCCGUUGAAUCUUUAUUAUAGAUCCAUGUAGUUGAUGUGCAGUCAUGAAGAGCAUUAUUACAGGGCAGACAGACAUUUUCACCAGAAGUGAUGAACACAUGAGCAUCAUCUACUCCACUGGUACCUGAAACACAAGAAUAUCUGAGUGAUCAUUGUGUUAUAUAUUAAUAAAUGAAGCUUCAUAAACGAACCCCUGUGACAGCAGGUCAUUCUCAGGGUCAGAUAUCAGUGCAUUCAGGAAUAAAACAGUAUUUGCAAAUGUGAGAUCAGAACAACGUCAGGAAGAAUCAACCAUGUUCAAACCAACUCAAUCCCAGACUGAAUAUAUAUUAAUAUAAUAAUGUGUUUACCUGCGAGAAGUGAAGAGAGAAUAGCCAGUCCCAGCAGAAACAAAUGACACAUAUCAGCCAUUUCUCUUUCUCUCAGUCUUUCCAGAUCCUCAGCAGCUUCUGCAGUUGAGAUGUUGAGAGUGACAAAAAAAAAAAAAAAAAAUUCAACCAGCUAAAUAAAAGAAGUGGAAAGACUAAAAGAGUUCAUUCCCAUCAGUCUAAUCUAGGUCGGGAAAUGAUCACAGUAACACAUUUCCAGACCUCAACAGUGAGAUCACAGCUCUAAAAAUACUACAGGAAACAUGUAAUGUCACACAUGCAAGGCUUACUAUCCAAAGCAAAAGGUUCUGCAAAGAGAGUGAAUACAACACACCGACUGACAAAGAGGAAACAAAGGUGGUUUGAGAAAAAUACAAUAUUUUAGAUGUUGUCUUUAACAGAGUUUAAAAGGAAACAGUACAGACUUGUUUUCUCUGCACUGAAAUGAUCAUUGACCACACACACACACACAAAUUAAAUAAAUAAAAAAUCUGAUGUUCACACAUGACAUGUAAUGCGAUAAUACCACAACCAGUGCCAUAAUAGUAAACAUUAUUCAAACUGUCAGUUGAAAUUGACUGGAUGGAUUUCUUCUCCCCUCCUCCUAUAUUAAUCAAGAGGUGAUCAUAGUCUUCAAUCUAGUGCAUCUCGUCUGAGUUAUUAAUGUUAAAGGCGAUGUGUGCGUUUGGUGUCUGAGAGGUGAGUGAUGGUCUGACACGUCAGGAACACAUUAACAGGGUUUAGUCAUUUAGCUUUCAGCCGAGGAUACUGGGAUAGACUCCUGCCCUAUGACCCUUCAGAGGGUCCUGUAAGGAUAAGAGAGUGAGAGAGACCCAUUUAGCCCAGCAUACGGAAUAAAAGUUAUGAAGUUAUGAAAUUUGGCACACAUAUAGAGGAUAGGCUGAACAUUAACCACAACAACUUUGGAGUCUCUAACUCAAACCCUCUAGCACCACCAACAGUUUCACUCCUAUUUAUGCUAAUAACUUUUGAACUGUAAGGGCUAGAAACAAAAUUCUGAAAAUGUUUUAAUGAUUUAGAUUUUUCUGAAAGACCUACUUUUUCAUCCAUU